AGCAGCCGCGGUAAUUCCAGCUCCAAUAGCGUAUAUUAAAGUUGUUGCAGUUAAAAAGCUCGUAGUUGAAUUUCGGGGUUCUACCGUUGGUCGGGCUUUGUCUGUACUGGCGUGUAGAAUUUCUACCUUCUGGGGAACCGUCAUGUUAUUAAUUUAACGUGGUGGGAAACCAGGACCUUUACCUUGAAAAAAUUAGAGUGUUCAAAGCAGGCUUACGUCUGAAUACAUUAGCAUGGAAUAAUAGAAUAGGACGGUGGUCCUGUUUUGUUGGUUUCUGAAUCACCGUAAUGAUUAAUAGGGAUAGUUGGGGGCAUUAGUAUUCAAUUGUCAGAGGUGAAAUUCUUGGAUUUAU
rnacentral:rRNA from 1 species